UUCCUGGUGGUCCAGUGGUUAAGACUCUGCACUUCCGAUGCAGAGAGCAUAGGUUCGAUCCCUAGUCAGGAAA